rnacentral:rRNA from 1 species
GACGAACGCUGGCGGCGUGCCUAAUACAUGCAAGUCGAACGAGAGCGACCGGUGCUUGCACUGGUCAAUCUAGUGGCGAACGGGUGAGUAACACGUGGGUAACCUGCCCAUCAGAGGGGGAUAACAUUCGGAAACGGAUGCUAAAACCGCAUAGGUCCUUUAACCGCAUGGUUGAAGGAGGAAAAGAGGCGCAAGCUUCUACUGAUGGAUGGACCCGCGGUGCAUUAGCUAGUUGGUGAGGUAACGGCUCACCAAGGCCGUGAUGCAUAGCCGACCUGAGAGGGUGAUCGGCCACAUUGGGACUGAGACACGGCCCAAACUCCUACGGGAGGCAGCAGUAGGGAAUCUUCCGCAAUGGACGCAAGUCUGACGGAGCAACGCCGCGUGAGUGAAGAAGGUUUUCGGAUCGUAAAACUCUGUUGUUAGAGAAGAACAAGUGCUAGAGUAACUGUUAGCGCCUUGACGGUAUCUAACCAGAAAGCCACGGCUAACUACGUGCCAGCAGCCGCGGUAAUACGUAGGUGGCAAGCGUUGUCCGGAUUUAUUGGGCGUAAAGCGAGCGCAGGCGGUUCCUUAAGUCUGAUGUGAAAGCCCCCGGCUCAACCGGGGAGGGUCAUUGGAAACUGGGGAACUUGAGUGCAGAAGAGGAGAGUGGAAUUCCAUGUGUAGCGGUGAAAUGCGUAGAUAUAUGGAGGAACACCAGUGGCGAAGGCGACUCUCUGGUCUGUAACUGACGCUGAGGCUCGAAAGCGUGGGUAGCAAACAGG